UACGUAGGGGGCAAGCGUUAUCCGGAUUUAUUGGGUUUAAAGGGUGCGUAGGCGGUUUUUUAAGUUAGUGGUUAAACGUCGGGGCUUCACCUUGAUUUGCCAUUAAUACUGUAAGACUCGAGUUCAGACGAGGUAGGCGGAAUAAGUUAAGUAGCGGUGAAAUGCUUAGAUAUAACUUAGAACUCCGAUAGCGAAGGCAGCUUACCAGACUGCGACUGACGCUCAGGCACGAAAGUGUGGGUAUCGAACAGG
rnacentral:rRNA from 1 species